rnacentral:rRNA from 1 species
AUUGAACGCUGGCGGCAGGCCUAACACAUGCAAGUCGAGCGAGCGGCGGACGGGUGAGUAAUGUAUGGGAAUCUGCCCGAUGGAGGGGGAUAACUACUGGAAACGGUAGCUAAUACCGCAUACUAUCGGAUUCACCCAUAUGGGAUUAGCUAGUAGGUGGGGGAACGGCUCACCUAGGCGACGAUCCCUAGCUGGUCUGAGAGGAUGACCAGCCACACUGGAACUGGGAAACGGUCCAGACUCCUACGGGAGGCAGCAGUGGGGAAUAUUGCACAAUGGGCGCAAGCCUGAUGCAGCCAUGCCGCGUGUGUGAAGAAGGCCUUAGGGUUGUAAAGCACUUUCAGCGGGGAGGCGUUACUCGCAGAAGAAGCACCGGCUAACUCCGUGCCAGCAGCCGCGGUAAUUC